AAAUAUUGAGUUUUUGGUAAAUGCUUUAUAUAUUGAAACCUAUAAUCUUUGGUGUUGUUUUAAAAUUUCUUACCACAUUCUAAAUUUGUAUUAACAUAUGUUAAGCUCCCUUUCAUGGUAUAUGAGAAUCGGUAUAAUUAUUUUUAUCAAUUCAUUUAGUAAAACUUCAUAAUACUCUCGAAAUCGGUGGAAUAAUUAACUAUAAAAUCGCUAGUUUCUUGAAAAAUGGAGACAACAAAGCCUCCAAACCACUUUGAACAUCAUUAUAUGUUAUUUCAGGAUGCAACUAUGCAUUAAAAAAAUAUUGUCAUAUUUUUAAAAAUUUUCUCAAAAUCUAGGUGUUAACCCCUACGAAAAUAUUGAGUUUUUGGUAAAUGCUUUAUAUAAUGAAGCCUAAAAUUUUAGUGUUGUUUUAAAAUUUCUAACCAUGUUCUACAUUUGUCUUAAUGUAUUUUAAACUCUCUUUCAUGGUAUAUGAGAAUCGUUAUAAUUUGUUUAUCGAUUAAUUUAGUAAAACUUCAUAAUACUCUCAAAAUCGGUAGAAUAUUUAACUAUAAAAUCAUUAUUUUCUUGAAAAACGGAGACAACAAAGGCUCCAAACCUCUUUAAACAUCAUUAUAUGUUAUUUCAUGAUGCAAAUAUGCGUUAAAACAAUAUUGUCAUAUUUUUAAAAAAUUUCUCGAAAUCUAUGUGUUCCCUACAAAAAUAUUGAGUUUUUAGUAAAUGCUUUAUAUAUUGAAACUUAUAAUCUUUACUGUUGGUUUAAACUCUCUUUCAUGGUAUAUGAAAAUCGUUAUAAUCUUUUUAUCGAUUAAUUUAGUAAAACUUCAUAAUACUUUGAACAUCAUUAUAUGUUAGUGCAUGAUGACACUGACCUUGACACUGUUUACACUCGUGGCAGAUGACUUUUCUUUGCUGAUAGGUUUUAAUACAAUUUUUUUUCCCUGAUACAAACUUUUCACAAGUGUUUCAUCCGGGGUUCUGAUUGCAUAGACAGUCAUGAACCGGCUGUGAUACUUCUUCCCUAGUACCGUACCUAUGUGAGCUCUAAGCUUAGGUCCAUCAGAGCUAUCUAUGGUGGUGGUUUCCAAGUUGAUGAACACGUCUAUUGAGCCAUUUUUCCCAGAAAGAGUGUUCCGAACUCUUUGCAUUUUGGGAGCUUGUGGCACUGACCUGAUGUAAACAGACAGGAACAUGAAAGGACCAAACUUUAAGUAUUAUAUUUAGAUAAUGGGCUACAUCUAUGUCGCAAUGGAUAGGACGAAGGAAACUAUUGCAAAGAGUUUCAAAUGGAAGAAAGAGAAAUAUGAAAAAGUCUUCGAGAUGGUUGACAGCGCUGGGUCUUUGAGUUGUAGCUAACAAGUUUGCGGUUAUGAAAAUAUUCAUGAAAUAACCUGAAAAAGUGGUUUAGUGAACAGAUCUUGUGCAGUUUUUAUAUGGUGUAUAAGAUCUUAUGGAUGAGAAUCAGAGUUUUGGUAUUGACAUUAAAUGAAAGAAGAAUGACUUCAACUUAUUUCAGAGACAAGGUUUUUGCAAGAGUCAUGAAGAUAAUGGAAAUUAGAGUUGAACAACUAAUGAUUAAUCUUAAUUUUGUUCAUAUUCGAGUAUUUUUCAUCAACUAUUUUAUAUAUAUAUAUAUGUAAACUAAUUUUAAGAACUAUUAUCUUUAGUUCUAAGAGAUUUAAUAUUAUAAAAGAUUGAAACGAAGAUUAAACAUAUAUUUCUUUAUAUAUGUUCUUUUUCAUAAAUAAGUGAUGACCUUGUAACUAUACCACACAAACAAAUCAUUUUAAAAUAAAAUAUUCAUUUUAGAAGAAAAGGUUUAUCUAAAUAUUUUUGGUUCCACGCUGUUUUCACAUAUGAAAAAUAAUAAUUUUUAAUCAACAUUGUUUGCUAAAUCAAUAAAACUGCAAACUAAAAAAAUAUGUAUUGAAACUAAUCUUGAAAAGGUCUAAACGGUUGAAAGAUGGCUUUUCUUCGGUGAUACCUUUUAACAAUCAUAUUUCCUCGAUACAUACUUUCUAGAAUUUCUGAAUCCAGAGACUAGAGUGCACAAAUAGUCAAUUGCAGUUGUGAUACUUCCCUUGUCUAUCAUCGAUGUUAGCUCUAAUGUUAGUUGCAUUGACACUAUCUAUUGUAGUGGACUCCAAAUCGAUGAAGACAUCUACUCCUCUUCCAUUUAUCUCAUCUUGUCAGAACUUUUGGUAGCUUGGGAAAUUCCACCAUGCCUUCGUCCCCAUUGGUAAGACAAUCCAUCUUCAUCAACCAAAGUCUUAGAGCUCGAGCUAGCAUUGUCUUGUUUAACGAGUUCACCUAGAAUAUAUUUUCAUGUAACUAUUAGGAAAGUUAACAUUAGUGUAUAAGUUAUAUUUCCUAUUCAAUUAUGUAAAGAACUUGCUAGACAAGUUAUGUAUUUAUAUAAAUAAGUUUAUUGGCUAAGUUAAUAAGAUGAGAGAAACUAUUAUACUACUUAGGUUUCCUCCAAACUUGACAGUAAGCUUCGAGGCAAACAACCAGAGUAGCUAUCGACUUCUUCUCUUCACUCGUUAAAUCUUUUUCCCUUAUUAGAUUUUAAAUUUAGUCAGGUUUACCAACCAGAGAAUAUCUCUCUACGUGCAUCAUCUCUGAGGCCUCUUUUCUAGUUUCAAGCAAGCUAUGAUCAAAAGAAUAUAAUAUUUGAAAAGGCCAUGAAAUUUUGGUUAAAAAAAUAGAAAAUUAUGAUGGAAAAGUUGGUCUGAACCUCAUAAAAAAAGAAAAAAAAAAGAUAAUAGCUGCUUAAGUUAAACUGGUUAUUGAUGUCAUUAACAAUAAAAUUUAAGAAAAAGAUUAUAAAACAUAGCAUUCCAUCGUAAAAGGGGCUCUUCCAUAAACCAUAUCAUUCCAUCACUGCAUCCUAUCACUCAGGCAAAAGAGGCUCCUCUAUAAACCAUAGCACUUCAUCGAAAACUCGGCAUGGUGCAUUAAGAAGUCGUACGUCAGUCACAUCGUUUACCGCUAACAUAAAUUAUAUGUCCGUACCAAGUGUUAAUUGCUUAAUGAGAUAUAGAUAAUCCUUGUCCCCAGCAAGAAUCAAGAUAUGCUUCUGCUCUCCGUGGGCUCUCAAGAUUACGUCGCUGAAUAUUUUCAUGUCCGCGAUAUCAGUAUUUCUCAUUACUUUUACUGAAAAAAAAGAUAAUAACACAAUUAAAAACUAAAAAAGAAACUGAAAAAUACUAAAUUGGAUUUUUUUCCUUUGUUGUUUCCGUAAUCAUCUACGAUGAAAUCAUAACAAUUAAGUGAUCUCGGUUCACCUUCACACAACAUGUUUCUGCUACUGAGUCGGUGGUAUUCGAUAUCAGGAGGAAAGAAUGUACUAAUAUCUGUAACCAUCUCUACCUCCAAUAGUGACAAUUUUUCUUUCCGAGCUGUUUUCACAUAUCAAAAAUAAUAAUUAAUAAUUUGUUUUGCAAAUCAAUAAACUGAAAAAUAUGUAUUGAGAUUUUAGCUUUCUCAAUUGCGUUCUUCUUCUUUUCUUCUCAAAACAAAUUAUGAGAACAAUAGAUGUAGCUAAUAAAUUUAUGGUUAAGAACAAGCUUUGUGCAGUUUUUGUAUGAUGUAUAAGAUCUUAGGAUGAGAAUCAAUGGUUAAUAGUGGAUGUAGCUAAUAAACUUAUGGUUAAUAAACCAAUGGAACUUGAGAAAAAUUGUUUAGUGAACAAAGCUUGUGCAGUUUUUGUAUGAUGUAUAAGAUCUUAGGAUGAGAAUCAAUGGUUUGGUAUUACAUUAAAUGAUAGAAGCAUGACUUUAACUUAUUUCAGAAACAAAGGUUUUUGCAAGAGUGAUCAAGAUAAUGGAAAUUAGAGUUGAACUAUAUGUUCUUAGCUUUCAAAGACAAAGGUUUUUACUUUUCUUUUCAUAUUCGAGUAUUUUUCAUCAAAUAUUAUCUAUGCAUUUAAACUGUUUUUAAGAACUAUUAUCUUUAGUUCUAAGAGACUAAAUAUUUUAUAACAUUGAAUCGAAGAUUAGACAUAUUCCUUAUAGAUGUUCUUAUUCAUAAAUAAGUGAUCGACCUUGUAAUUCUACCACAUAAACAAAAAAAAAUUCAAAUAAAAUAUUUAUUCUUAUAAGAAAAUUUUUAUCUAAAUAUUUUUGGAUCCACACUGUUUUCACAUAUCAUAAACAAUAAUUUUUAAUCAACAUUUUUUGCUAAAUCAAUAAAAAUGCAAACUAAAAACAUAUGUAUUGAAAUUAACCUUGAAAAGGUCUACACGGUUGAAAAUGGCUCUUAUUCGGUGAUACCUUUUAACAAUUACAUUUCCCUCAUACAAAAUUUCACUAUAGUGCAUAAAUAGUCACGUUGCAUCAGUGAUACUUCCCUGGUACAUCAUCAAUGUUAGGUCUAAGAUUAGUUGCACUAGCACUAUCUAUAGUAGUUGUCUCCAAAUCGAUGAAGGCAUGUACUACUCUCCCAUUAAUCUUCAUCUUGUUAAUGUCUUCUCCUUCUGUAUCUGCUACUUGAAUGAUCUCUUGGUUUCAUCAUAGAGAAAAUACAUAUCAAGGAUGAAAUAGUUUUAAAAUGAAGUAGUGGGGCCAAUUUGGCAAAGACUAAAAGUAUUGGGGAAAGUUUAGAAAUAGAAUACGAGGAAAGCGUGUGGUAUAAACACGACCAAAUCUGUUCUGUCAAUCUCCUCAUGUCUUUCAUUCAUGCUCUUGACGUUAUUAAGGUCGUUAGUUUCAAUGUAUGGAGGAAACAUCUUAGAUAAUGUUUUAAUGAUUAGUAAGCAAAAUGGUAGAUAUGCUUGUUUUAGACUUCUAUAGAAUAGUUUUAAAGAUUUUAGUAUGAAAAAAAAAACAUCUCACUCACAUAAUGUUUCUCUCUUCUGACCCUAUGUGCAGAUUGGGCCGUAUAUAACAUCGAGAGGAGGUGUUGUUGUAGCCGACGAACUUACUCCAUACCUUGAUGUUCCAUCUUCCAAGAGUGCUACGUUUCCAAGAGAAGUUUGCCAUGCGUGUUAAGAGUUUCUUCUUCAGCGGCGGCAUCGGCUUCAUGCUUUUUGGGGCUAGGAGGUUCUUGAGAGAUUUUGCUUGUUUCAACAGCAAAACAGGCUGCGCCUCUAUCUAUAAACAAUCCAGGCCAUUGAGGGCUUUCGGGGUUGUUGAUGUCCAGAGUCGGAGUGACUAAGAGAAGAUCGUAAUCCAUGGCAUCCAAUCGUCGAAGCAUAUCGGUGUAGUAGCCGGCACCUAUGAACUGAUCUGCGAACAGGACCAAACUAGCUUCAUAACUCCAGUUCUGAGGAGAGUCCCUUACCCAUAAAUACAUGUCAUUUAACAUUCUGAGGUAUCAUGCUUGAUACGUCUCGAGGUUUUAUCCCUUGGAAAAAGGAAAAAAUUGAAUAAAUAAAUAUUGUCAAAUGCAAGUGAGAUUAAUACAUAUAAAAAAGAAAAAAAAGAGUGGAAAUGAUCACCUCUGGGGAGAAAGUAGAUGCUGGAAGCCCACGUCUUGUCACCACCCAGUAAGGCAGACCCUUUCUUGUCAGCAUCAUCAUCAAUGGAAACUUUAUUUGAUCUUUUGUUUAUUUACUUGUACAAUGUCUCACAAGCUUUGAUAUGUAACUAGAGAAAGAUUCAAAGCUCUGUAGACUUUUUAGCUCAACACAAUCAUUUGCUCAUCCUAUUUUAAAAACAAUAAUGAAAUGGUUUAUCUUUUCUUUAUACACACAACAGUUGAUCUCUACUUAUAUCUUUCUGAUGUUGAUGCUGGAAACUUAUGAUAUAUAGUUCAAAAGAUCUUUUCCAGUUGAUGAAUUCCAUAUUCACUAUCAUUAAUAAUACAAAAAUAAAUCCAUCUCUGAGAUUGAUCAAGUUUGGAUUCUUUAGUUCCAAAGUGUCCCAAAGACUGAAACAUGUGGUUUUAGAGUGUUAGUUGCCAGAGCCAAAGCCACGAGGACCUGGCUUGCUUGAUGCAGACUCCACAAACUUCUUCAAACAUAGGAGGAGUAACCGAUCCAAAAUGCAAGAACUUGAUGAAGCCACCCGAUUACUUAAUGUCUUUCCCAACUCCUCAAGGACUUGUCAACCAAGAAGAGACAUGGAAUAUGGGUUUGGAUACUUGCAACGACGAUGCAUGGGAAGAAACAAUGGACAAUAAUGUCUCAGAGUUUGGUUAUAUUGCAGGAACAACAAGUGGUGGUUGUUUGGCUGAUGUUCCUUGGGAACAAAUUGCUGCAAGAAUCACAGAGACUGGAAUUAAUUGGCCAAGUUGUGAUGAUAAUACACCAAUGGAUUAUCUUUUAAACCUUCCAUUAUUCAAAUCUUAGUCCAAGACCCUCUUUUAUCAUCGGGUGAACUAUUAAUUGAUUGAUUGGUUGGUCAUUUUGAAUACAUAUAUAUAAAUAAUGAGUUAUAUUUUGCACUUCUUAUUCAGAGUACACAUGUCUCUGCACUAUGAUUUUAGUGGAUGACACAGCUAUGACAACACGAUUGAGACUUAUUCAAACAUCCCAAAACUUGUUUACGAGUCCUAUUCUAACGUUCUAUGUGUCAAACCUUGACUUUUUGUGCAUAAAAACAAGAAAUCAACUGACCCUUUGACGUUUCAUGAUGAUAUGCUCAGUUUCCAAGUUCUCAAACUUGAAAAUUCCCCCAUCGUACUAACUACUAGUUUGUUUCGGUUUUAUACUAUAGUUGUAAUGAGAUAAACGCAAAAUGUUGAUAUAACCGAGUUGGUCCAAGGCGCCACAUUAAGGUUCUGGUCCGAAAAGGAUUGGGUUUCAAAUUCAACUUUUGUUCUUAAUGGUUCAACAUAUUUGGGCUUUUAAUGGCCAUAUUAUAAUGACUUAAAGAUUAACAAUGGCCCUGAAGGUUAGGCCCAUCUGACUACUUUAUCAUAGUUUAUAUAUUUAUAAAAAAGGUUUAUAUUUAUGGUUUGGCUCAUUUGGGUGAAUAACCAAAACAAGAAUGUAAAUUAGGUAAGUGGACAUUUUUUUUAUUAAUUGGCAAACUAGGAGAAAGAACUGCAUGGAAAGUCUAUAUUAUCCUUGUUGCAAUCGAAUGAAUCCAUCUCUAUUUUACCUGCUACCGGCUUUUUCUACUUCAAAAACUUCUUCUUCAGCUUCUUCUAUUUCUCUCUCUUCUUCCCCGGCGACGAAGCUUGCCUCUGACUACUCUUCUCCGGCGAUCCACAAAGCUUUCUAUUUUCCGACGCCGUUGGUUCACCAUCCUCCGGCUAGAAAAGGCGACUUCACCACCUCGUUUUCCUCACUUCCACUUUUUAUGGCUCCCUUCUCCUCAAAUGCUCCUCCGACCAAGAGACGCCUCCUCGUGUCUCAAUCGCCGACAAGAACACGACAGAUCCGGGCUCAGGCGAGUGGAUUCCACAUAAACCUAAGAACUUGAGAAUCUUGCUGUCCUGAAAGAUCAUCACCAGACCCUAGUCAGCAAACAAACAAACAAAAAGUACUUGCCUUCUCUAAGAUGAGCAGAACAAAGUUGAGACCUUUUCCUAUUCAAGAUUGUUGGAUCCAAAAAUCUGAAUCAUAUCUUCCCCUUCCUAUGUCGUUAAA